GACGUGGGGGGCCAGCGUUGUUCGGAAUUACUGGGUGUAAAGGGUUCGUAGGCGGUGUGGCAAGUCGGGAGUGAAAUCUCUAGGCUCAACCUAGAGUCUGCUUCCGAAACUGCUGUGCUUGAGUGUGGGAGAGGCGCGUGGAAUUGCAGGUGUAGCGGUGAAAUGCGUAGAUAUCUGCAGGAACACCCGUGGCGAAAGCGGCGAGCUGGAUCACUACUGACGCUGAGGAACGAAAGCUAGGGGAGCAAACAGG
rnacentral:rRNA from 1 species